CAGAGUGAUGAUAUUAUGACAUCGGAAAGGCAUUCCUCGACCUGAAUAUAUAAUGUCGAUUCUGUCUAAACUUAGUUUCAGCCUUGUCUGACC
rnacentral:snoRNA from 1 species